CUGCGCCACCAGGGAAGCCUCAGCAUUAAGUUUUUCAUUGAGCUGAGAAAGCAAAUGCAGAGCCUCCACCCCUACCCAUUUUCCUGCCACGGGCCCCAACUCCAUGUUUCCAGGACUCACUCAUGACCUUCUGUACUGACAGCCCCACAGGGGAAGCUGAAGCCAGACUAUAACCCAGAGAGUCUGUUCAGCUAUCUCCAAGGAGCGGCAAACCGUCUUCUCCAUACACAGCUAGGCUCACGUUUUAAAGUCCAAAACCCAAAACCAGGUUACCAGUGUGAUGUCACCGAAUUGAUGCUGAUGAACACGGAGCUGGAGAAGAGAUGCCACAAUCAGCUCCUGGAAGCCGAUUUUCCAGAGCACGUAUCACGGCCUUGCAGAGCACGUUACUUAUCCCCAAGUAUUGUGUGUUAUCUGCCUCCUCCCCACCGUGCCCCCAGGGUUUUUUGUCAGUUGUGUUCUUGACGUCCUGUAAGAAGGAUGCCGAGCACAGAGUAGGCUGUCAAUACCUCGUUAAAUGAAUGAACGAAUUUCCUAAUGAGGGUGAUAUAGUGCAGAUAUGCUAAUAUUGAUUGACUAGGAGAAUGUUCAGGCCCAGAGCUGUGGUCAGAGGGCUUUAUGAGGUUGAAUAGCAGCCCCUUGUUUUGAAGCUCUAUACUUAACUUAAAGAGCAUUAUUUCAGACUGUUAUUAUUAUGGGUUUGAAUAAAAAGAAUAAUGUGCAUUGAAAACUAACAAAGGAAUUUAUAGGUGUGCACUCAUUAAAAAGAGAGAGACAGAAUUCUUGAUAGUUUUAGGAAUUCUUUGCUGUCACUCUUCUUUAAAUAAUCUGCCCUAGAGACUUUCUUUUAUUCAGUGAAUGUGUCAGUGUGACACAUUCUUCACAUCCUGAUCCAGGGCUUUGAACAUCUGGAUUUUUCUCCUCUUGCAAAAGUAUGCCCUCUUACAAUUUAGAAAUUCCGUUUACAUUGAAGCUUGAAAUAAAACUUUUUCCUUAGUAUGCCACAGAAAUCUCUUUCUUCUCCAUACACUCACUGACAUAGGACCGUGUCAGUGAGUGUGUCGUUUUUAUGAGCUCGAAGGCUAAUCAUGAAUGAACCGUCCUGCCUUUCUGAAAGCGGUGCGCUUUCUCACACUCGGAUAUGAUCAGCCUCUGCCUGCACUGCCUUCAAUUUGAAAGCUACGUAGCCUAUUAACAGCAGUCUCAAGCCUUUAUAGGCACAUGUUCUACAGCAAGUUGUUCUCAUUUAUCCAGUUUUUUCAAAGGAUAUCUUCCACGAAUGACAUAAAGGUUGAGUGCCAUUUAAUAUUCUCCUCUGACACGUUGUUGGAUUUGCUGUUUAGGUACAGGGUGGCCAGGAUGGGAAAUAUUGAUGUUAUACUUACGUUUUUCUACUUAAAAUUUAAAAAAACAAUUCAUGCCCAAUGUAACUUUCCAAAGUCAGAAAUGAAAGGAAGACCGGAAUACGCAUGAUAAGUGUAAGUGCUGGUUCUUGGCACUGACAACGAGUGCAGACCUCUAUAAGCAUCUCCCGAAGGACAUUAUAGUCAAGAUCUCCUGGAGAAUCAUUUUCUGCGCUGUUUAUUUUGGCCUUGCGAGAGCUGUGGCAUGCCGAGUGUGGGCUGCGGUGGGGUGGCUGCCGUCAGCAAUGUGGCUGCUGUGAAUUCCUUCCCUAACUUGGAAUUUUCAUCAUCCAGGGCUGGCCCACGGCAAGGCCUCCUCAGUGCAUCCAGGAUGAAGGUCUUGCCCUCUAAUGCGCUAUCCUGUGCCCUUCGCCCUGAUGGUUGCCAGAUGUUUCCCUGUGGCUCACUGUCCGUCUCACAUGUCCCUGCCCUGCGAGUCCUGCCUAUUGCUUCCUGAUAAGCUUUCCUUCUCCAAGUAGGGACUCUGCUGAUCUGAGCCACACUGAUGACACCCAGGCCACAGCUUCAGCUCUGCCUGACGAUUCCAUGCUGCCUCUGGCCAGUCACCACCCCAGAACUUGUCUUAGUCACACUAGGGACCAAGCCACAGAUGCCACUGGAUCAGUCCAAACUGAUCCCCCGUGCCCUUUCCUAGGAAAAAACCUUAAGGUCCUUGCUUUAGUAAUAAAUUCAUUCAACAGCUAUUAAUUUGAUCACCUCAUCCUGGCAUCUGCCCUCAUGAAGCUUAUGUGGGAAGUCAGGAGAUUAAUGGUUAAAAAAUAAAUUGUAGAGACUGCUGAAUGCUAUAAAGCAAAUAUGGCAAGGAGAAGGUGUAAGUGUGAGAGGGGGGCUCUCAGAGAACAUGAGGAUGGGAGUCAGGAGUUCAGUUAGAACGCAGGGUUCCCAGAUUCAAAUGCAGCGUGUGCCUCGAAACCAAGAAUGACAGCAAUUCUUGGUGCAGUGAAAUCCUACUGCACGUACGUCAGGCUUUUGUUCAUGAAAACAGUCAAAUGAGAAGAUAGAAAUGGUGACAGGUAAAGUACAGUGUAAAUGUUAAAUUAAGAUGAGCAAAGGAACACACUAAAUUCUAAGGGGAGACAUAUAUACGAAAAACCACAGCUUCAGGUUAGGGAUUCUAAUGACUAAAGCCUCGCUGGUUCCCCAGGUGAGGUGGAUGUAAGCGUGCACAACCAUCAGAGGCAUAACUCUGCCGUCACCUGUGUCAGAACAGAAUGUGCGUGACGUCUGCUUGCGGCGGGAAGCCGUCCUGCUCGCAGCCCCUAGGCUAGUCUGUAGCACAAGUGGUCCUGCUGUAUGUCACUUGACUCUGUUGCACUCAGAAACAGGAGCCAGGAGUAUGUACCUGAUCCUAGGACAACCAAUCCAGAGGCUGACCAGUGGCCUGUGAGCCAACUCAAGGCGAUAAGCUCUACGCCAGCAAGGUGCGUGCUCUCUCUGUCUGCUACUAGGAAAUAUGGUAGCAGGAGAAAAAACAAGAAAGCAGAGACCGAGAGGUUGAAGCACAUUAACGCUGACCACUGGAGAGACCAUCCUUCCUCAGCUGUGGUGAGUAGGUAUUAGUAGUAUCUGCCCACUCCUCCCCUCCCCUGUCUCCCUGCCAGCCCUUCAGUGGCUCUGACUGACGCCAGCCGCCAGUGUCCUUGUCUCCCCGUCUAAAGAUCUUAUUUCCAGAACCUGUAGCAGGCUAGAAGUAUGAAUUAGCACCUCUUAGGACCAGUCCUCUAUCAGUGGCUCACCGGAGUUGCUCUAUAAGUACUACCGCAGCUCAGUCACCUCUUGGCUUGCGUAAAGCUUUAGUCACCCACUGUGAUAGUGCUUAAUCACACAUCCUUUAUUGCCUGCCCGCUACUCUAUUCUCUUCCUUACUCCCCCCACGAGUAUUUCCUGCACUUCCCAAAUAAGGUAGUUGCACUUUAAUUCUUGUCUAAGACUGACUUCCCUUAGGAGGCAAGAAGAUGAUUUAGGCCCUGAAGCAACUCAGAUCUUGAGCACCAGUUGCCAACUCACUCCUGAAAAGCUGUGGUGGUGUCUUGGUUUUCGCUUUUUCCUUUUUUCAGGCAGAUCCCUAUGCGGCAGGUGUCCUUUACUAGUGACCAGAAGGGCCUAAAUUCUCAAGGCAGGAAACAGGUGUCUGGGGAAGGAAGAAGUUGGUGGUUUCUUAGAGAUAGAACCAUAUCCUUCUUUAGGAAGUAUUUUUGGUAGCUAUUUGUUUCAUGCUGGGAUGUUCUAUCAAAGCAAAGGCAGGUUCCUAGUCAAAAUAUUUAAUUAGGGCUUCACAAUGCCCUGUCUUUGUGAAUAUCCUAUGAUUUACUGCCAUAUGAGCAUGACAGCAUUAAAGAUAAGAGGUGACUGUCUAGUACCAUCUGUUCAUGACACUGUUUUGGGGGAAAAAGCUACUAUCCUAUGACAUUGGGGAAUUCUUUGGGAAUAAUACAUGGUUGGUUGUGGAAUGCUUAUCUAAUAGUCACUACUGAAAGAGGGCCGGAGAACCAGGUGAUUCUAUUGUAUUCAUUCUGAAGAGAAAACUUGCCUCCACAACUUGAAUCUAGACCCAUUUGUGUGUGUGUGUGUGUGUGUGUGUGCACGCGCAUGUGCGUGCACACGUGUAUAGAGAGUGGUUACAUUAUAAUACAGUCAUAUAAUAAAUAUAUAAUAAAAUAUUAUGUUCAGGAUUCCAGGAAAAAUGCAGAAGACCUUGAAAUGGGUAAAAAUGACCUCUGAGUGUCUCGUGUAGCCCGCUCUUCCAGCUUAUCUCCACCUUUCAUGGUCUUUGAGGUAUUUUGUAUUCUAGGUUGUAGAAAAUGAUAAUAGUGGAAAUGACUGGUGUCCACAGAAAUGCAAAUGAACGGUGUCAGAUGUAAUUCAUUAUCACCUGGUGGAUCUUGACCAGUUUUGCAGGCAUGUUAAAUUCAUUUCAGCAUUUCAGAUUGCCUAUAUAUGUAUGGUACUUUGAAUUCUCCUUUGAACCAGCUGUAAUAUCUUACUGGUUCCAUCUUUGGUUAAUUAGUCAAAUAAAAUCUUUUACUUGUAUUCAUUUUAUAAUAACAUAAGAGUCAUGAUUUUACCCUUUAAAAAAUUGCCCUUUGACAACGACAUAUAGGUAAGGGAAAAAAACCAAGUUGUGCGUUAGCAUGAAUUGUGAGAUCAAGCUUCAAA